GUCAUUUAAGCAUAUUAAACAUUAAAUUGACUUUCAAAUCCAUUUUAUUUUUUUUUUUUAAAAAAAAAUUCCAGUUUUUGUUAAAUUGUAAUCCACCUUAUCCUAACUAAAGCUGCACCUGGAUCUAUUUUUUUUAAUUAAUUUUAAUUUGAAUAACCCUUUUAAAAAGGUAUUUAUACAACGGUAUACAUACUUUUAGCAGGUAAGAUAUAUCGUGGGGUAUCGUUUAUUAGGCAGAUUCCUCUGAGAGUAUAGAAUGCCGCCAAGUUCUUUAGGUUUCAAGAUAGUAGCUAUUAGUACC
rnacentral:rRNA from 1 species